GAGGGAAGAAGGCCUUCGGGUUGUAAAGCUCUUUUGAGUGGGACUAAAAACCCUUGACCAGGAUCAAUUG
rnacentral:rRNA from 1 species